rnacentral:rRNA from 1 species
AGCGAACGCUGGCGGCAGGCCUAACACAUGCAAGUCGAACGGAUCCUUCGGGAUUAGUGGCGGACGGGUGAGUAACACGUGGGAACGCGCCCUUUGGUUCGGAACAACUCAGGGAAACUUGAGCUAAUACCGGAUGUGCCCUUCGGGGGAAAGAUUUAUCGCCAUUGGAGCGGCCCGCGUCUGAUUAGCUAGUUGGUGAGGUAAAGGCUCACCAAGGCGACGAUCAGUAGCUGGUCUGCGAGGAUGAUCAGCCACAGUGGGACUGAUACACGGCCCAAACGCCUACGGGAGGCAGCAGUGGGGAAUCUAGCGCAAUGGGCGAAAGCCUGACGCAGCCAUGCCGCGUGAAUGAUGAAGGUCUUAGGAUUGUAAAAUUCUUUCACCGGGGACGAUAAUGACGGUACCCGGAGAAGAAGCCCCGGCUAACUUCGUGCCAGCAGCCGCCGUAAUAC